UACAGGGGGGGCAAGCGUUGUUCGGAAUUACUGGGCGUAAAGGGCGCGUAGGCGGCCUUCUUAGUCGAACGUGAAAUCCCCGGGCUCAACCCGGGAACUGCGUCCGAUACUGGAAGGCUCGAAUCCGGGAGAGGGAUGUGGAAUUCCAGGUGUAGCGGUGAAAUGCGUAGAUAUCUGGAGGAACACCGGUGGCGAAGGCGACAUCCUGGACCGGUAUUGACGCUGAGGCGCGAAAGCCAGGGGAGCAAACGGG
rnacentral:rRNA from 1 species